UCUCCCUUAGCAGCGAGACCAGUCCCUACCUCUUUUCAAUCAAUCUUUCAUACCGUAUGCCUUUUCUACGCCUAAAACAAGUUCAUGUCUCUCCUCUCUGAAGUCGGACCUUAUUGAAAAGUAGUACGCUUUCUUUCGUGGUGUUCAGGAUCCCAUGCUUUGUAGUUCACGCAUGGCUUUCUCUAACGAAGCUAAUGCCAAAAAUUAAAGACCUUAAACGGAAAGACACAGGAGGUGGCGAGCAAACAUAUUCAUUUUCACCGGGCUCCGCGCACCUUUGGUACUUCUGGAGGGCAAGCAGUUUUAUAGUGACUUCUUUCUUAGGGUAGGGCGACGAAUACUUCCAAUUCCGGAAAGGUCAUUGGGUCGCCUUUGGAAGCUAAAGCGAAAGUUGUAGCGGUACGUGAGCUGGGUUCAGAACGUCGUGAGACAGUUCGGUCCAUAUCCGGUGUGGGCGUUAGAGCAUUGAGAGGACCUUUCCCUAGUACGAGAGGACCGGGAAGGAUUCACCUCUGGUGUACCAGUUAUCAUGCCUACGGUAAACGCUGGGUAGCCAAGUGCGGAGAGGAUAACUGCUGAAAGCAUAUAAGUAGUAAGCCCACCCCAAGAUGAGUGCUCUCUCCUCCGACUUCCCUAG
rnacentral:ncRNA from 1 species